CAGUAGCCACGGUAACACGGAGGGGGCUAGCGUUGUUCGGAAUUACUGGGCGUAAAGCGCACGUAGGCGGCUUGGUAAGUUAGAGGUGAAAGCCCAGGGCUCAACCCUGGAAUUGCCUUUAAGACUGCCGAGCUAGUAGGUGAGAGAGGUAAGUGGAAUUCCGAGUGCAGAGGUGAAAUUCGUAGAUAUUCGGAAGAACACCAGUGGCGAAGGCGGCUUACUGGCUCAUUCUAGACGCUGAGGUGCGAAAGCGUGGGGAGCAAACAGGAUUAGAUACCCGCGUAGUCCCUGUCUCUUAUAC
rnacentral:rRNA from 1 species